UUUGUGGUUGAGUUGCUCAUUCGUCCCAAUCUGCAAUUAUUAAAAGCAUCAUUAAUUUUUAUAAACAUUUUGUUACUUUAUAAUACUUGUUAAUAUGUGACCUAUACAAUAGUAUAGGCAUUGCUUUGCUUUGUGUAAAAUCUGAAAUGAAUAAUGCUGCCACAUUGUGUUGCACGCACACGUGCUUGGAAGCCGGUAUCUGAAAGGGAUGCGACUGAGAUGAGGUUACAUGGACGCGUUCGUAAGCCGAUUUCUGCAAUGGAAACCCCAAAGAGCUCUUGGAUACAUUUGAGUGCUGAACGAACUCGUUUGAUGCAUGGAUUUCGUUAAGCAGAAGUUGUUGAGCUGUAAACCGCAAUAUUUAAAAGUUCUAGAUAAACAAACAAAAAGUAAAUGGAUGCAAUGGCGGGCCACUAAGGUUUUUUAAUGGCGGCUUGAAUAUUGUGGAAGCAUUGGAGAACUCAAUAUAUUGAGUGUAUCGUUGAAUAUCUCUGAAUGGGUCUCUUACAUUGAGUCCUUCUUUAGCCAGCUGCUGGUGAUGUCGAUUUUUAUGGAUUUCAAACGCUAAGCUCUGAAUGUAUUGCUGUCGACGGGCUGUAAUUGAAUCCAAAUCUGGGCAUUGUGCAAGUUGGCGGCUAUCUGCGAUUUUCAAUAUUCAGGACAGUUUCAAUAAGCUGCGACCAAAAAUCGGAUGCCAACUAAAUUCUUAAGAGCAAUUUGUGAAUAUAACUGAAUAAAAAGCAAACUACUUUA